rnacentral:rRNA from 1 species
GAUGAACGCUAGCGGCAGGCCUAAUACAUGCAAGUCGAACGGGAUCCAGAUCAAAGCUUGCUUUGGUCUGGUGAGAGUGGCGCACGGGUGCGUAACGCGUGAGCAACCUACCCUUGUCAGGGGGAUAGCCCGGCGAAAGUCGGAUUAAUACCGCAUGACAUCAUUGAGAGGCAUCUUUCGAUGAUCAAAGAUUUAUCGGACAAGGAUGGGCUCGCGUGACAUUAGCUAGUUGGUAAGGUAACGGCUUACCAAGGCUGCGAUGUCUAGGGGCUCUGAGAGGAGAAUCCCCCACACUGGUACUGAGACACGGACCAGACUCCUACGGGAGGCAGCAGUAAGGAAUAUUGGUCAAUGGACGGAAGUCUGAACCAGCCAUGCCGCGUGCAGGAGGACGGCCCUAUGGGUUGUAAGCUGCUUUUAUACGGGAACAAACGUCGGUACGUGUACCGGUCUGAGUGUACCGUAAGAAUAAGGAUCGGCUAACUCCGUG